GGGGAUGUUUUGGUUUCGACUAUCGGUAGAUCAUGCCAUAGAUUGCGGAUCCAGCGCCAACUGGUUAAACUAGCAAAAAAAAUUAAAUGCUAAGAAAGAAGACGAAUUUGUCUCCGACGAAGCAUACGCUCUCGCUGCUUAAUUGUAGCUAGACGUUCAGCUUGAGUAGUGCUGUUCCUAACUAUUCAAUGUCUGUCAAAAUAGGGACUUGCUUGUUAAUAGCUAUCGAUUAACGGGGACUCUUAGAUAGAUACUUUCUUUAUUUAGUUGGUUACAUUACUAAACUAAGGAAGGAAACUUUAAAAAAUGUGACUACAUUCGUAGACGUUUAUGGAUGGCACGAUAGGACAGGGGUUCGAGUCCCCUCAUCUCCAAAA
rnacentral:tmRNA from 1 species